UGUGUUCUGAAACUUCUCUAUGGAUUUUUCUUAAGUAUUUACUGAAAUUAUCAAUCAUACUUCCUAGUCUAUGGAUCAUUUGAACACCUAAGAAAAAUGAACCUGGACAGAUCCAUAAAAAUGGAAUUUCAAAAUGUUGUCUGCUACAUGGGCUUAUCAAGAUUAUAUACAGACAGUGAAUGCAUUGUGCUUAGCUGGCUAUUUUCUCAAUGCAAGAAUACAGGGCUCAUGGGAGAGCAAGAAGCUUAAUGCCAAGGCUGAUGAAAGCUGACCCAUUUCAGUUUGCAUGUGACUGCAGGUACAGCUGCAAACACUGUUCACUAACUGAACAUAUGUAUUUUCCCGGCAAGAUGACAGGUUAUUUGGCUUACAUGUCAAAUAGGGUCUCGAAACAACAGAAAACUACUCAAGACAUAGAAGCUCUACCAGCCCACUGA
rnacentral:lncRNA from 14 species